rnacentral:rRNA from 1 species
GACGAACGCUGGCGGCGUGCUUAACACAUGCAAGUCGAACGGAAAGGCCCUGCUUUUGUGGGGUGCUCGAGUGGCGAACGGGUGAGUAACACGUGAGUAACCUGCCCUUGACUUUGGGAUAACUUCAGGAAACUGGGGCUAAUACCGGAUAGGAGCUCCUGCUGCAUGGUGGGGGUUGGAAAGUUUCGGCGGUUGGGGAUGGACUCGCGGCUUAUCAGCUUGUUGGUGGGGUAGUGGCUUACCAAGGCUUUGACGGGUAGCCGGCCUGAGAGGGUGACCGGCCACCUUGGGCCUGCGAUACGGCCCAGUCUCCUACCGGAGGCAGCAGUGGGGAGUAUUGCACAGUGGGCGGACGCCUGUUGCAGCAACGCCGCGUGCGGGAUGCCGGCCUUCGGGUUGUAAACCGCUUUCGCCUGUGACGAAGCGUGAGUGACGGUAAUGGGUAAAGAAGCACCGGCUAACUACGUG